rnacentral:snoRNA from 1 species
AUGCAUUUAUCUGACAGACCUGGAAUGAUUAUGUCUGCUGCUAAGGUUUUCACUACAGGUGCAAAAGCAAAGUGUUCUUGUACUUUCUGUCUGAUUGUGGCAGUCAAGAUGAAUGGAAGAGUACAGGA